AGAACGACUCUCGGCAACGGAUAUCUCGGCUCUCGCAUCGAUGAAGAACGUAGCAAAAUGCGAUACAUGGUGUGAAUUGCAGAAUCCCGCGAACCAUCGAGUUUUUGAACGCAAGUUGCGCCCGAGGCCUUCUGGUCGAGGGCACGCCUGCCUGGGCGUCACGC
rnacentral:rRNA from 2 species